GUGUAAUGUAUGUAUAUUUGUCUUAAUAUGUGUGUUUGUUUGCAUUGCAUGUCAUUUUGCUUAUGUUUAAUGUAUUUAAUAAUGUCAAUUUUAAAAGCUCACUUACUUUGUUUACAAUGUAUUGAUAAUAAAUAAAACUUUGAUUUGAUUUGAGGUGUUGCAUUUGUUGAAUAAGCAUUUCUUUUUCAGAUGGGAACUAAUUGUGCUCCCAUUCCAGAAUACCUGCUUCUUGUAUUCCUAUUUGGAAUGCAGAAUUAGGGCAGAUCUUCUUGAAUACAACAGGGGAAAAAAUCUACUUAAUUUCAAUCUCAGAUAUAUUUAUGACCUUUGACUAAAUAAUCCCCAUCAGCUAGUAUUUAUCUUAUAA
rnacentral:lncRNA from 1 species